ensembl:processed_transcript A430057M04Rik RIKEN cDNA A430057M04 gene
ACAAGAAGCAGCAGUUUUGCCUUAGCUAGUCCUUACUCUGAGUACAGCGAGCACGCCUCCGGGACGUAGGAGCUGCAGACAGCGCUCGUAGUAGGCGGUACAGUUCUCUUUGUCCGCGUCCACCACGGCUAUGUCGAAGGUUCCGGCCUCGCCCGCCGCUAGGAGCUCAUCUUAACAGGGACAGAGGGCAUGUGCCGCUGGCUGAGCUAGGGUCUCAGCGGGCUGCUCAGGGUCGCCAGUUUUGUUCCCCGGGGUUGGACAGUGCUGUCUGGGUCCCUCCCGCACUGGUGCUCACCCAAUGUCUGCAGGGCGGGCUGCAGCCGAAGGUCGAUCUUCUGCUCCACUUCUGCCUGCGGAAGGAGGCCGGUCAGGCCGGCACGCCCCCGAGCCGGAGCCCGAACGGCCGCAGGUGUGGGGCUCUCACCUGCUUCCACAUGGGCCGUCCCAGCUUCGGGGGCUCUGCGUCAACCUCGCAGGUCACCACGCGGCCAGCCUCCGGAAGCGCCAAGGCUAGGGCCAGGGCCGAGUAGCCCGUGAAAGUACCUGUGGAAGGGGACACUGUCAAGCUCAGUUCAGGGUGCAGGGCUGCCCUGUGACCCUGGUUUCCAGAGACCAUGGCUGCGUGUUCCUACCCAGAUCCAGAGCUUUCUUGGCCUUAAUGAGCCGCGCCAGGUUGGCCAGAAGCUGGGCCUGUUCACAGGUCAUCAUGGAAUCCCCCUGCGGCUGCUCCAGGGUCAGCUGUGUGGGGAGAGGGAGGUGCCAUUCAUACCAGUCACCCCNNNNNGACGUUUUGAAUCAUUCAGGGGCUCGGUGGCGGGUGUGGCCUAGAGGGGACAGGUCUCAGGGAACCCGGAAGCCCAGAGAGGGUUUCUGCCUAGCUCAAGGUCACACAGCCACGUGAGGUCCACCACGCUGGAAGUGGGGAGCCGGUUCUCGGUCCCAGUCCUACUGACCAGUCGCAGGCUCCGCAGCGCCGGGUGCUCUCUCAUGGAGCGGCUCAGCAGAUACUGCCACAGGGGAUUGUCCUCAGGUGGCAGCAGGCGCUCUUGCCGCCUGGACCCCCAUGGAGGCCACCGUUUCCCUGCCGGGGAGAGGGUGCCGAGUCAGGGCCUGCAUUUCUGACCGGGUUCUCCGGCUCUUCUCCGCGCCCUCCUCCCAUUCCCCGGACUGCAGCAGCCCAGCCCAGCUCACCCAGCAAGAGACCAGUAGCGAAGGCGGCGCCCAGCGCGGCCGAGCCCAGGGCCAGUGCGGCGGGGAUAGAUAGCCGAGGGACGGGCUGAGCCAUGGUGCAGGUUAGCAGCGGCGGCGGAGGUCACGUGUGCUGGAGUAGCGAGGAUGGGACUGGGACCAGUAAGCCGACCGGGCUCCACCUUGUCCGGGCCCUGCCCAUAGAGCCGCGUCCUCGGGCACCAUCUGGUGACACAUGGCCGUAUUGCAAGGUCAGGCUGAGAACAUCUCGCCACCCGGUGGCUGCAUGCGGAACUGCGUCGGGUGAAAUCCUUGCUAGACCUCGCUCACAGGAGACUCUGCUGACCUGCCCUCAGGGACCUAGCAAUUGCUUAAGGCAUCACCCGCCCCGCCCCCCAGGUACGACAGGUAAGGCCCGAAGAAAUGUGAGUUCCUUUAGGGCUGAGCACACAGCAGGCACUAAAUACGUGCUGGCGGGGCCACACUGCGACCAGUGAUAACAACGUGACAACCGGAAGCUGUUACUUAGCACCUGCUGGGUACCAGGUGCUCAACACCCAGCAACCCUUGAAGCAGCGGCGUUGUUCCAAUUUUCAAGAGAAGGAAAGUCCUGAAUUGAUCAUCUCUCCGAGCUCACUGCCUAGCGCCUUGCCCUCCUAAAUUUCCACCGUCUUUAUCAGUACCUCCCUGGGACGCACACAGAGGGAAGAGGCAGCCGUGUCCCCGCUAGGCCUCUUCAGCGGGCUUGUGGCACCGAGUCCUUGUCCUUAGCCGGAGCCCUCUUCCCCAUAUCUGGGGACCGGGAUGGCUUGCAAGUUCUCAGUGCAUCUCACAGCCUUCCUCCUGCAACCUGGCUCCAGGCAGGAGCGGUGGAGGUGGGGGAAGCGGGCGAGGAGGGAGCCAUGUCACCAUAUAUCCCAGUCAGAUUAAAAAACUAAUUUG